AAUCCCUCUCUCUCCUCCACAUUCAAAAUCUAGGGCUUUUUGAUUUAUGUGUAUUGGGUGCUAGAAUAGUAUAUUAGAUUUAUGUGUAUUUAGGGUUUAGAUUUCUGUUUUUUUAAUAUUAUUGGGUAUGGACUUUUACUUCUUUUUUCGUUGGUUGGGGCUGUGUUUGUUCAUGCCCGAGAAAGAUAGUUUUUGGUCAGAUUUCUCAUUUGCAUUAUCUGUGAGUUUGAAUACUUUCUAAUUUUGCUCCUUUAAUUGCUGACUAGACAUGGUUGAUUCGAAUUGCAUUAGAUUUAUGCUAGAAUGUAUUUCUCUGCUAUACACAAUUUAUGCAUUACCCAGAUCUCUGCUGAUGACCAGGCCACAGCCAGGCCAAGAGGUCAUGUGUAGUAGCUAGGAUGGAUAAAUUGAGCAGGUGUUGCCAUGUUCCUGGUUGGCCUGGCUGUGGCCUGGUCAUCAGCUCUCUAAGAUGCUGUGCAACGAUGGUUGCCAUGUUCUUGGUCUGGCUGUGGCAGAGUUGUUUGUUGAUGUUGUUGGUGUUGGUGUUGGUGUCCUCGAUGAUCAGUGUCUCUCAUGCUUGCUCACCUGAAAUGCAAUGACAUAAUCUCAUGCUUGUUCAGCUGUUAACGAAAUUUGUUGCCUAGAGAUGGAAAAAAAACCUUCAUUGAUUUGGUAAUUUCUCUCUGAUAUGUUUUUUUUUCCUUUGUAAUUUCUCUUUGAUGUCUUUGGUGGAUAUUCAAACUUGACUUGCUGAAAUCAGUUUGGGAUCUUCUGAUAAACCCAUAUGGACUGCUUCUAGGAAAGGAGUAAAUGUUAGUUAUGAUACUUGGGAGGCUCUUAGGGAAAAGAGAGUUCAAGUUGAGUGGUGGAAGUUAGUAUGGUUUUCUCUAGCUAUUCCAGGGUUUGCUCUUUUUGUUCUUUAGUUGCUUUCCCUCUUUGAGGUCUCUCUCUCUCAGAUGGUGAAACUCACCGGCGUCGGUUGACUGGGUUCGGAAACGAAGGUGGGUUUGGGUCCGACGGAGGUUUUGCUGGUUUGCAGUUUGCUGGAGGUAGAAGAGAUGGAUACAAUCUGGAGGUAGAAGAAAUGGAAGUAUUGACACACCGUGGUAAUUGGAGAGGCAACCCAAAGCAAUAGCAAAGGAGAAGACAAUUUUCUAUUACACUAUGUACCUAAUUGUCCUUUACCUUCCUUGUUUGUAUUUUUAGGUUAUUCCUUCAUUCUAACAGGAAAAUUUUAUAUUCAAAGGAGUGAUUCUUUUCCAUGUUGAAACUUGUAACAUGUAGAUGUAGUUCUCAUAUAAAGAUGUUAAUUGGAUAUUUUGAUGCAACACGUUGAUAUUUGUUCCUUGGUGCAUUGAAGUACAAUGUCUUUUGGGGAUAUAGUAAUUUUGACUUUUUUGCAUCUU